rnacentral:rRNA from 1 species
GCACGCCGGACCUACCGGCCAGUCCCGUGUCGUCGAGCAAGGGCCGUCAGUUGCGUCGUCGUGGGAGGAGGCUCACCAAGAAGCGGCGGGGGAGGAGACGAUGACACGCCCCAGACUCCCUAUUUUCUUCGGGUCGCAUCUUCCGUGAGCCGUCUCUCUCUCUCUCGGGCAGCUUCCAUAUGGGAUUUGGAUGAGGAAAAGGAGACACGAUGCGGGGCGACGAUGACCGCUGGUGAGUUGGCUGGACGGGUGCCGGGCCCAUGGGCGCGGUUGGGGAGCUGCGCACACAUCCAUGGACAACGAGUACAUCAAACGCCAACACAUCGAAAGGGCAAUGGAAGCUUGCUAUAUUUUUUGAAAGCUAAAGGUUUGGCUAGCUCAUUGAAUGCUGGUGUUGGCACUGGAGGAGCACAACGAUCCUCGUAUGCCUCUAUCUUUUAG